AUGGCCGCCUGGCGAAGGAAGGAGACGGCCGUAGCGUACGUGCUCGCCGCCCCUGGCGACGGAGGCGGCGACAGAGGAAAGAAGAUCCCCAAGGGGUACCUCCCGCUGGCGCUGGUGGGCGAGGAGGGAGACGGCGACGAGCGGGUGCUGGUGCGGAUCGAUGCGCUCAAGGAGCCGUGCAUGGCGGCGCUGCUGGAGAUGGCCGCGCAGCAGUUCGGCUACGGCCAGCCCGGCGUCCUCAGGAUCCCCUGUGAUGCACAGCAGUUCCACCAAAUGGUCAGCGCCAUGUGUAGCAAGACCAAAGCCACGUAG
rnacentral:rRNA from 1 species